GAUGAACGCUCGCUACAGGCUUAACACAUGCAAGUCGCGGGGCAGCAUGGGGGUUGCUUGCAACUCCCGAUGGCGACCGGCGCACGGGUGAGUAACGCGUAUCCAACCUGCCCUUCACCACGGGAUAACCCGGCGAAAGUCGGACUAAUACCGUAUGUUGUCCAUUGACGGCAUCCGAUUUGGACGAAAGGCUUUGCGGUGAAGGAUGGGGCUGCGUCCGAUUAGCCAGACGGCGGGGUAACGGCCCACCGUGGCUACGAUCGGUAGGGGUUCUGAGAGGAAGGUCCCCCACACUGGAACUGAGACACGGUCCAGACUCCUACGGGAGGCAGCAGUGAGGAAUAUUGGUCAAUGGGCGUAAGCCUGAACCAGCCAAGUAGCGUGCAGGAUGACGGCCCUAUGGGUUGUAAACUGCUUUUAUGCGGGGAUAAAGUGGCCCACGUGUGGGCUUUUGCAGGUACCGCAUGAAUAAGGACCGGCUAAUUCCGUG
rnacentral:rRNA from 1 species